AACGCGAAGAACCUUACCUAGACUUGACAUACAGUGGACAGGUACAGAAAUGUACUCUUCCGAAAGGACUGCUGAACAGGUGCUGCAUGGCUGUCGUCAGCUCGUGCCGUGAGGUGUUGGGUUAAGUCCCGCAACGAGCGCAACCCUUGUCAUUAGUUGCCAGCAUGUUAUGAUGGGCACUCUAGUGAGACUGCCUGGGUUAACCAGGAGGAAGGUGAGGAUGACGUCAAGUCCGCAUGGCCCUUAUGUCUAGGGCUACACACGUGCUACAAUGGUCGGUACAAUAGGUAGCAAGACCGCAAGGUGGAGCAAAUCCAUAAAAACCGGCCCCAGUUCGGAUUGAGGUCUGCAAUUCGACCUCAUGAAGUUGGAAUCGCUAGUAAUGGCGCAUCAGCUACAGCGCCGUGAAUACGUUCCCGGGCCUUGUA
rnacentral:rRNA from 1 species